rnacentral:rRNA from 1 species
AUUGAACGCUGGCGGCAGGCCUAACACAUGCAAGUCGAGCGGCAGCGGGAAAGUAGCUUGCUACUUUUGCCGGCGAGCGGCGGACGGGUGAGUAAUGCCUGGGAAAUUGCCCAGUCGAGGGGGAUAACAGUUGGAAACGACUGCUAAUACCGCAUACGCCCUACGGGGGAAAGCAGGGGACCUUCGGGCCUUGCGCGAUUGGAUAUGCCCAGGUGGGAUUUAGCUAGUUGGUGAGGUAAUGGCUCACCAAGGCGACGAUCCCUAGCUGGUCUGAGAGGAUGAGCAGCCACACUGGAACUGAGACACGCUCCAGACUCCUACGGGAGGCAGCAGUGGGGAAUAUUGCACAAUGGGGGAAACCCUGAUGCAGCCAUGCCGCGUGUGUGAAGAAGGCCUUCGGGUUGUAAAGCACUUUCAGCGAGGAGGAAAGGUUGAUGCCUAAUACGUAUCAACUGUGACGUUACUCGCAGAAGAAGCACCGGCUAACUCCGUGCCAGCCGCCGCAGUAAUAC